rnacentral:rRNA from 1 species
UACGUAGGGGGCAAGCGUUGUCCGGAUUUAUUGGGCGUAAAGAGCGUGUAGGCGGCCUGAAAGGUCAGCUGUGAAAACUCGAGGCUCAACCUCGAGACGUCGGUUGAAACCAUCUGGCUAGAGUCCGGAAGAGGAGUGUGGAAUUCCCGGUGUAGCGGUGAAAUGCGCAGAUAUCGGGAAGAACACCCGUGGCGAAGGCGGGUCUCUGGGCCGUUACUGACGCUGAGGAGCGAAAGCGUGGGGAGCGAACAGG